rnacentral:rRNA from 1 species
GCGAACGCUGGCGGCGUGCCUAUACAUGCAAGUCGAGCGGACAGAUGGGAGCUUGCUCCCUGAUGUUAGCGGCGGACGGGUGAGUAACACGUGGGUAACCUGCCUGUAAGACUGGGAUAACUCCGGGAAACCGGGGCUAAUACCGGAUGGUUGUUUGAACCGCAUGGUUCAAACAUAAAAGGUGGCUUCGGCUACCACUUACAGAUGGACCCGCGGCGCAUUAGCUAGUUGGUGAGGUAAUGGCUCACCAAGGCAACGAUGCGUAGCCGACCUGAGAGGGUGAUCGGCCACACUGGGACUGAGACACGGCCCAGACUCCUACGGGAGGCAGCAGUAGGGAAUCUUCCGCAAUGGACGAAAGUCUGACGGAGCAACGCCGCGUGAGUGAUGAAGGUUUUCGGAUCGUAAAGCUCUGUUGUUAGGGAAGAACAAGUACCGUUCGAAUAGGGCGGUACCUUGACGGUACCUAACCAGAAAGCCACGGCUAACUACGUGCCAGCAGCCGCGGUAAUACUAGUGGCAAGCGUUGUCCGGAAUUAUUGGGCGUAAAGGGCUCGCAGGGGUUUCUUAUUCUGAUGUGAAACCCCCCGGCUCACCCGGGGAGGGUCAUUGGAAACUGGGGGAACUUUUGCAA